GGGACCCAGCUUCUGAAGGGAGGAGAAUCGAAGAAUUUAUGGACAUAUUUUAAAACCACCACACUGUGCAUCUGGGCAAGUUACUUCUCCUCUCCGUCUCCCUUGCUUCAGCUGAAAAUGGGGAUAAAAGUUAGUCCCCGAUGAUUGACUGGGUUCAUGGCAGUGACGGACGGGUUAGCGCCGUCAUGAAGCGAGCUCUCAGAAGUGGCCCGGUUACUCGCGCCUGUUGUGUGCGGAUGGAUAUCUCUUUAGUAGCAAAUUGCGAGCUGGCUCUUCCUUAAACAGACGAUGCAGCUGAUGCUGAUGUCCCAGAAGAGAGGCCACUUGCUUAAACCCUCCAGGACAGCGCUGAAGGAGCCGGCAUCCCAAGCAGGCCCAUGGAUGCCACGGGGAAGGAUCGUCCAGGGGGGUGGGCAGCAUGAGCGUGGACCCCCUCAGCCCGGACACCCACCAGCAGCUUCUCCAGGGUCAGGCGGGCCCCCUCCCAGCGCCUCCGUCCAGCAGCGUGGCCAUCUUUAUCAGCUCCACAGUUUCAGGUCCUGGAACCCGUGAAGCCCCAGCCCCAUCAGCUGAAUUUGGUCUUUGUUGAAUGCCUCGCCCCUCCGACCAGGCUGUAAGCUCCAUGAGGGCAAAGACGACACAGUAGUGUGCUGGCAAGUGUUUGGUAACCUAAUCUCCAAAAAGCAAAAAACAAAAUAAAACUCCUGUUUUGCGCUGUGUGCCAGUUUCCGCCGUGUAAAUCCUCCCAUGGUCGUCAGUUUCG
rnacentral:lncRNA from 1 species